rnacentral:rRNA from 1 species
UACGGAGGGGGCGAGCGUUGUUCGGAAUCACUGGGUGUAAAGGGUGCGUAGGCGGUCCGAUAAGUCUGAUGUGAAAGCCCUGGGCUCAACUCAGGAACUGCAUUGGAAACUGACGGACUGGAGUACCGGAGAGGGAAGCGGAAUUCCUGGUGUAGCGGUGAAAUGCGUAGAUACCAGGAGGAACACCGGUGGCGAAAGGCGGUUUCCUGGCCGAGUACGUGACGCUG